GACGGAGGAUGCAAGCGUUAUCCGGAAUGAUUGGGCGUAAAGCGUCUGCAGGUGGCAGUUCAAGUCUGCUGUCAAAGACCGGGGCUUAACUUCGGAAAGGCAGUGGAAAACUGAACAGCUAGAGUAUGGUAGGGGCAGAGGGAAUUCCUGGUGUAGCGGUGAAAUGCGUAGAUAUCUGGAGGAACACCGGUGGCGAAGGCGGCAUCCUGGACCAAUACUGACGCUGAGGAGCGAAAGCCAGGGGAGCAAAGCGGG
rnacentral:rRNA from 1 species